AUGAAUGCCUUAGGGUUGUAAACUGCUUUUAUAUGUGACGAAUAUGACGGUAGCAUAUGAAUAAGGAUCGGCUAACUCCGUCGCCAA
rnacentral:rRNA from 1 species